GACGAACGCUGGCGGCGUGCUUAACACAUGCAAGUCGAGCGGAGCGGCGAACGGGUGAGUAACGCGUGAGUAACUGCCCCCCUCUCUGGGAUAACAGUUGGAAACGGCUGCUAAUACCGGAUAGUGGGGGAUGACUCGCGUCCAAUCAGCUUGUUGGUGGGGUAGUGGCCUACCAAGGCGCCGACGGGUAGCCGGCCUGAGAGGGCGACCGGCCACAGGGGGCUGAGAGACGGCACGAACACGCACGGGGGGCAGGAGUGGGGAAUAUUGCACAAUGGGGGAGACCAUGAUGCGGAAACGCCGCGGGCGGGAUGGCGGCCUUAGGGUUGUAAACCGCUUUCAGCAAUGACGCGGUAGUGGCAGAAGAAGCACCGGCUAACUACGUGCCAGCAGCCGCGGUAAUAC
rnacentral:rRNA from 1 species